CUACGGGAGGCAGCAGUGGGGAAUUUUGGACAAUGGGGGCAACCCUGAUCCAGCCAUGCCGCGUGCGGGAAGAAGGCCUUCGGGUUGUAAACCGCUUUCGGCCGGAACGAAAUCGGCGGGAUGAAUAGUCUCGCUGGAUGACGGUACCGGAAGAAGAAGCACCGGCUAACUACGUGCCAGCAGCCGCGGUAAUACGUAGGGUGCGAGCGUUAAUCGGAAUUACUGGGCGUAAAGCGUGCGCAGGCGGCCGCGUAAGCCAGAGGUGAAAUCCCCGGGCUCAACCUGGGAAUGGCCUUUGGGACUGCGUGGCUCGAGUGCGGCAGAGGGGGGUGGAAUUCCUGGUGUAGCAGUGAAAUGCGUAGAUAUCAGGAGGAACACCGAUGGCGAAGGCAGCCCCCUGGGCCAGCACUGACGCUCAUGCACGAAAGCGUGGGGAGCAAACAGGAUUAGAUACCCUGGUAGUCCACGCCCUAAACGAUGACGACUAGUUGUUGGGGGAGCAAUCCCUUAGUAACGUAGCUAACGCGUGAAGUCGUCCGCCUGGGGAGUACGGUCGCAAGAUUAAAACUUAAAGGAAUUGACG
rnacentral:rRNA from 1 species